AAAAAUCCUAUAACUAGGAAAAGAUAUGUCUUUUCGGAUUGGCUUGAAGAGUGAAAUCUAUGUAUAACCUUAAGAAUGCAUAUCACAUUAAUAUAAGCUUAAUGCAAGGCUAGAAUGUUCACGAUGAGCCUAAAUAAACAUGUCUAAAAUAAAAUGAACUCAAUAAGUAAACACGUCUAAGUUACUAAUGCAAGUCUUAAAAUACAAUCUAAAACGUGUUAAAAAUCAAUAAAUGCAUGAGUACCUAAACAUGGUGAAUUGACAUUCUCAUCAUAUUUUAUACUUACUUGUCUGGUCCGAUGAACGCAUUAACAUAAAUUACAGUUACUUGAUCACAUUUAAAGUUAAAACAAUGAAAAGAAAUGAAAACUUUAUAUUAAAUUUUUAGUGAGGUCUCAAAAUGGUUUAGAGAUUGGUAGCAUUUUACGAUCAAUCAUGUCAAAUAGGGAAUAACAACUAUGAGCUUGAUAUAGAAUCAUUGGUUUGGAUCUUAAGAAAUUUCACCUUUGUUGUCAUUUUCGAAAAAAAAUAAAUGAAAAAAUGUGUUGUAUUUUAAAAGUAUCAAGUUUUUAAAAUAUUUCAAACUUUCCUUAUUGUUAAAAAAAAUAAAAAUAAAAAUGGAAAAAUGUAUUGUAUUUUAAAAAUGUCGAGCUUUUAGAACAUCAAUGUCGUUAU
rnacentral:lncRNA from 1 species